rnacentral:rRNA from 1 species
AGUGAACGCUGGCGGCGUGCUUAACACAUGCAAGUCGAACGAAGUGGCGAACGGGUGAGUAACGCGUAAUCAACCUGCCCUUCAGCGGGGGACAACAGUUGGAAACGACUGCUAAUACCGCAUACUGAAGGCGGGGAUUGCGUCUGAUUGGCUAGUUGGAGGGGUAACGGCCUACGGAGGCUAUGACGCGUAACGGGGCUGAUAGGAUGAUCAGGCACAGGGGAACUGAGACACGGUCCAAACGCCUAAGGGAGGCAGCAGUAGGGAAUAUUGCGCAAUGGGGGAAACCCUGACGAAGCAACGCCGCGUGGAGGAUGACACUUUUCGGAGCGUAAACUCCUUUUGUUAGGGAAGCGGUACCUAACGAAUAAGCACCGGCUAACUCCGUGCCAGCAGCCGCGGUAAUAC